rnacentral:ncRNA from 1 species
AUGGUUAGAUAUAAUGAGUGCCUUUACGAAGUAAUUCGUAAAGAAAAUAGGGUGAAUUGCAGGAAAAACCUUAGAGCCUCAAAUACUAUCCUGUGCUGGUGACAGACACAGUGACAAGGGGUAAUGCCUAAGAUUAGUAAAAAGUUUGAGGAUUGGUAAACCCGCAGCCAAGCGUCCAGAAUGGCAUGAAAGUACGGACGAAGGUUCAGAGACUAGAGAGAUGAACAGCCAGAAUAAUAUUCUCUCCACGAGUGCCCUAUACCCUGUAAUGAUGGGUAAUGAGAUAGUCCGAUACUCCGCAGAAAUACGGAG